UGCCCCGUGGCUGAGUUGGUUACAGCGUCCGACUGUUACGACUUGUGGUGAUCGGAAGGUCGUGAGUUCGAGCCUCACCGGGGCAG